GACGAACGCUGGCGGCGUGCUUAACACAUGCAAGUCGAACGGGAUUUAGUAAACAGAAGCCUCGGUGGAAGAUUACUAAUGAGAGUGGCGAACGGGUGAGUAACGCGUGAGCAACCUGCCUAUGACAGUGGGAUAGCCUCGGGAAACCGGGAUUAAUACCGCAUAAAAUCGUAGAAACACAUGUUUUAACGGUCAAAGAUUUAUCGGUCAUAGAUGGGCUCGCGUCUGAUUAGCUAGUUGGUGAGAUAACAGCCCACCAAGGCGACGAUCAGUAGCCGGUCGGAGAGGAUGAACGGCCACAUUGGAACUGAGACACGGUCCAAACUCCUACGGGAGGCAGCAGUGGGGAAUAUUGCACAAUGGGGGAAACCCUGAUGCAGCGACGCCGCGUGAACGAAGAAGGUAUUCGUAUCGUAAAGUUCUGUCCUAUGGGAAGAUAAUGACAGUACCAUAGAAGAAAGCUCCGGCUAAAUACGUG
rnacentral:rRNA from 1 species